GUGCUCACUUCAGCAUCACAUAUGCUAAAAUUGGAAUGAUACAUGGAGUAGUAGCAUGGCCCCGUGCAAGGAUGGCAUGUAAAUUUGUGAAGCAUUCCAUAUUAAA